rnacentral:rRNA from 1 species
UACGUAUGGGGCAAGCGUUAUCCGGAUUCAUUGGGCGUAAAGCGCGCGUAGGCGGCUUGGCAAGUCAGAUGUGAAAACUGGGGGCUCAACCCGCAGACUGCAUUUGAAACUGCCUUGCUUGAGUCUGGUAGAGGAAAGUGGAAUUCAGAGUGUAGCGGUGAAAUGCGCAGAUAUUCUGAGGAACACCAGUGGCGAAGGCGGCUUUCUGGGCCACGACUGACGCUAAGGCGCGAAAGCUAGGGGAGCAAACAGGAUUAGAUACCCCCGUA